rnacentral:rRNA from 1 species
GACGAACGCUGGCGGCGUGCUUAACACAUGCAAGUCGAACGGAAAGGCCUGCUUUCCCUUGUGGAUUGCGGGUACUCGAGUGGCGAACGGGUGAGCAACACGUGAGUGAUCUGCCCCCAACUUGGGUAUAAGCCUGGGAAACUGGGUCUAAUUCCCGAUAGGACUGCAGGGUGGUGCCUGUGGUGGAAAACGAUUUUCUAGUGGUUGGGGAUGAGCUCGCGGCCUAUCAGCUUGUUGGUGGGGUAAUGGCCUACCAAGGCGGCGACGGGUAGCCGGCCUGGGAGGGUGGACGGCCACAUUGGGACUGAGAUACGGCCCAGACUCCUACGGGAGGCAGCAGUGGGGAAUAUUGCACAAUGGGCGGAAGCCUGAUGCAGCGACGCCGCGUGGGGGAUGACGGCCUUCGGGUUGUAAACUCCUUUCGACCGCGAGGAAGCCACCUGGUUGGAAGGGUGGUGACGGUAGUGGUAGAAGAAGCACCGGCUAACUACGUG